GGGCCCGCACAAGCGGAGGAACAUGUGGUUUAAUUCGAUGAUACGCGAGGAACCUUACCUGGGCUUAAAUGCAGAGUGCAUGCGGUGGAAACACCCUUCCCUUCGGGGCUCUUUGCAAGGUGCUGCAUGGUUGUCGUCAGCUCGUGCCGUGAGGUGUCGGGUUAAGUCCCAUAACGAGCGCAACCCUUACCGUUAGUUGCCAACAGGUCAAGCUGGGGACUCUAGCGGGACUGCCACCGUAAGGUGAGAGGAAGGUGGGGAUGACGUCAAAUCAGCACGGCCCUUAUGUCCAGGGCUACACACGUGUUACAAUGGCCGGUACAGAGGGCAGCUACCUGGUGACAGGAUGCUAAUCUUAAAAGCCGGUCUCAGUUCGGAUUGGAGUCUGCAACCCGACUCCAUGAAGUUGGAUUCGCUAGUAAUCGCGCAUCAGCCAUGGCGCGGUGAAUACGUUCCCGGGCCUU
rnacentral:rRNA from 1 species